rnacentral:rRNA from 2 species
UAGGAAUUCCACGUGUAGCGGUGAAAUGCGUAGAGAUGUGGAGGAACACCAGUGGCGAAGGCGACUCUCUGGUCUGUAACUGACGCUGAGGAGCGAAAGCGUGGGGAGCGAACAGGAUUAGAUACCCUGGUAGUCCACGCCGUAAACGAUGAGUGCUAAGUGUUAGGGGGUUUCCGCCCCUUAGUGCUGCAGCUAACGCAUUAAGCACUCCGCCUGGGGAGUACGGUCGCAAGACUGAAACUCAAAGGAAUUGACGGGGGCCCGCACAAGCGGUGGAGCAUGUGGUUUAAUUCGAAGCAACGCGAAGAACCUUACCAGGUCUUGACAUCCUCUGACAACCCUAGAGAUAGGGCUUUCCCUUCGGGGACAGAGUGACAGGUGGUGCAUGGUUGUCGUCAGCUCGUGUCGUGAGAUGUUGGGUUAAGUCCCGCAACGAGCGCAACCCUUGAUCUUAGUUGCCAGCAUUUAGUUGGGCACUCUAAGGUGACUGCCGGUGACAAACCGGAGGAAGGUGGGGAUGACGUCAAAUCAUCAUGCCCCUUAUGACCUGGGCUACACACGUGCUACAAUGGACAGAACAAAGGGCUGCGAGACCGCAAGGUUUAGCCAAUCCCAUAAAUCUGUUCUCAGUUCGGAUCGCAGUCUGCAACUCGACUGCGUGAAGCUGGAAUCGCUAGUAAUCGCGGAUCAGCAUGCCGCGGGUGAAUACGU